GCCAGAGGGCGGAGGGGGGAGGAAUCCCCUCGUCACCCUCUCCCCUAACUCUGACCCCGGCUCACUCCCGGCUCCGAGGAAGCCGCCGCUGAACUCAACUCUCUCGUCUCCCGGGCGGCGGAGGCAACGCGGCUGAGACCAACUUUGUCCCUCCAGGAGUGCAGUUUAGGGGUUGGCGAGGAGAAAAGGCCCAACCCGGUUUUUUUCUCUGGGCGGCGGCGGCGACAGGAGCCGUCUCUAGAGUCUCCCGAGUCCAGCCGGCAGCUCGGAACAGCCCUCCGUACCCUGCUGCUGCUGGUGCUCCCCUGUGAUCUGAGGCCUAAUGAGAGCAUGGAAAAUGGAAUGUGAAUGAGGAAGACUCUUGGUGACAAGGAUCAGGGAGCCUCUUUGGACUUGAGUGCCACUCCAGAAGCUCUUUUCACUCUGUUUUUCAUCCCCAUCCCCUCAUCCCCAUAUGCUACCCCCAUGUAGCUUAUGGAGGGAAACAAGUAAAGAUCAAUCUGUCUAUGCAUUUUUAACGAAUCAUUUGCUGUGACAUAUGAGCACUGAAGCUUCAGU